rnacentral:rRNA from 1 species
UACAGAGGUCUCAAGCGUUGUUCGGAGUCAUUGGGCGUAAAGGGUGCGUAGGCGGCGCGGUAAGUCGGGUGUGAAAUCUCGGAGCUUAACUCCGAAACUGCAUUCGAUACUGCCGUGCUUGAGGACUGGAGAGGAGACUGGAAUUUACGGUGUAGCGGUGAAAUGCGCAGAUAUCAGGAGGAACACCGGUGGCGAAGGCGGGUCGCUGGGCCGAUACUGACGCUGAGGAGCGAAAGCGUGGGGAGCAAACAGG